GCAGAACAAGAUCGUGGGCUGCAAUUAAAAUUCCCAUCCCGGGUAAUUCCCGGGCCUCCAUGGGGCUGUUUCCAUGGCAAGGGAGGCUGGCGCAGAGAAGGCAGGCUCCAUGCAGGGCUGAGCUCCCUCCUCCGUCCCUGUCCACAAAAGCCUCAGCCCUUGGCCGGGCAGUUCCAAGCCAGAUCUGUAAUCCAGCUCAGAAUGCAGCAAGGUGCAAGCGGAGGCCCAGGAGACAGCCCCUGCUCCCAAACUCUGUGGGCAGGUGCCCAAACUGGCAGGGAAGGAAAGGAGGGACAGUGUCUGUGCCCAGGGAGCCACUCCAUGACAUGUCCUAAAACAAUAUGAGGCCACUAAGGCACUGGCCCUGGAGCAGCCAGGUAGCAGGAAGGAAAAGUCGGGAAGAAACCUUCCACCCGCAGAAAGCAUGCUCCUUGUCUGAUAAACCCUUCCCACCGCCAGGGCCCAUCAGUCCUCCCACUGGCCUCCAGGCAGGGCUCCCCCAUCCUGCCUCCCACCCACUCACCUCUUACACAUUGUCACCCCUAGUCCUCACUCCUUCUUGCCCACGCGGGCUCACUACCUCCUGGCCCCCAAGGCAGCCCUUUGUGUAACCCUGGCUACUGUCAAGAAGACUGGAGGCCCUUCUGGCAUGUUCCCCGCUGGCAGAUGAGGAUGAGUAGCGCAGAGCGGGCACACGUCUCCGCGGGCAGACAUCAGAGGUGAUAAGGGCAGGAGAGAGAUGCCAGGGCUGUCCCUGAGGCCUCCCCUCUGAGGAAUCCUGCAGAAGCUCAGUGGGCUGGACAGAUAACGUGUAAUACCAGUACACAGAACUCCCACAUCUGGAGAGUCUGACCUGCAGAGGCCACCACGGGUCCUGCCUCCUGGGGUGGUUCUGGAGCCUGUGUUCCCUGGGAGGGGAGGCCUGCUUCCAGGUGGUUCCCCUGCAGGCUGCUUCCGCGGGGCCCUCAGGCUGCCCACACUCAUUCAUCCCAGGAGGGGAGAGAAGGAGAGAUAAGUGAAUUUGAUUUCACUUCCUUUUUCUCGCCUAGUCCCCAUUCCUGAUCUGCCCCCAGCCUCUCUGCUCCAAGUGCACCAUCUGCAGGCAGUCCCAGCCCCUGGCAUUCAGGAGACAGUGGACAGCUUGGAGAAUGGGAGGUGUCCUCAGGCACCCUGCCCAGCCCCAGCCUCAACUGGUGUUCUUUCCCUCCUCCUGUUGAGGAAGGAGGGGGAUGGGUGUCCUUGCCAGGUGUGGCCAGCCCUUGGUCAGGGGCCCAUGGGCACAUCCCACUAGACAGCCCAGCCCUGGUCAAUGCCACACGGGCGGCUCUGGGAACUCAGCCCAGGAACAAUGAGGCCAUUCACUCAGCCUGGGCUUCACACAAUGACCCUCUUGGUCUAUCUCCGUGGCAAGAUGGUGUGUGAGAGUGAGAGAGAGAGUGUGUGUGUGUGUGUGUGUGUGUGUGUGUGUGUGUAAGAGAGAGAGGGGAACUGGAGGUAACCAGAGAGUCCAAAUAGAGGCAGGAGAAAGAGUAGCAACCAGGGAUUUCAUGAUAAUCAUGCUGGCAUCUAUCCUAUAUGCCAGGCACUGUAUUGGGUACUUGCAUUAUCCUCACAACAGCCCUGUGAGUCAGUCCCAAUAGAAGCCCCAUUUUUGAGCUAAGGAAACCGAGGUAGGGUCAUAGAAGUCAGAAUAACAGGAACAUCUUGGCAGUGGUAUCCUCUAGUUUUAUUUGGGUGGUCCCAUGGGUGCAUACUUAUGCAAAUGUUCAUUGUACUGUCCACUGAAGAGUUGUCCAUUUUGCUGUCUGUAAAUUGCAUUUCAGCAAAAAAAAAAAAAAAAA
ensembl:lncRNA